CGCUGCUAAAUCUAAGUUUAUUGAAUAUUUCUUUUUUGUAGAUUCAACAGCUUUCUCCAAGGACCAGAGGUGGCACCCGAGGAACCUAUAGCUCAGCCCAGCGUGAGCAGUACUGAAGCCUAGGUAGCAAUGGAGAAGUGCAUGGCCAGAGUGUGUGUGUGUGUCUGUGUGUAAAGGAGAGGUCACAUGAAAUAUUGGAAGCUGGAUUCUACACACCUGAUGAUUGUUUGUGCUUUAUUCUUAUCUGGCACUUGGUUUGGUACACCACUAACACCCCAGAUAACAUGCUCAUGUGGGGCCUGUGUGGGAGCUCAAGUACCAGAAAGUUUUGUGUAUGGGUUCCAUGUUGACCCCACAUAUGGAUGUCACCUAUAGGCCUCAUUAGGGUCAGUGAUGGUGAGAGAAGGGGUAUAACAGGAGCCCCAAAACUUAGUUUUUGAAUCUCCGAUCAUGCUUCUUGCCUUCAGCGGCCAGAGUCAGAGAGAGAGCACAGUUGGUCAUGCUCUCUCUGGGGUGGGUAGAUGGCGCUCUCUCCCUAUAUCACUCCUAGUGUGAUGUAGGCAUCUGUUUGCUGAUGUUUCAGAGCUGGGGAUCCUGCGCUUUCCUCUAAGAGUGCUGGAAACACAGUGAUGCUGCAUUACCCCUCCUAGUGUUUUUUAGGAGUGUUAAUAUAAUUAUUGCUGUUAAUUGGCUUUCCAAAUUGAGGAGGAAUUAGGAUAAAAUUUGAAAUAAAUUCUUUAAAAAGCUCUAGGUGGCACAAUGAGCAUGGGGCCAAGAUGGAACCCAUCUGAGAUUAAGGAAUUCCCUUAACAAUACAUACUAGUACAAACCCACUCAGAAAUCAUGCCCACCUGAAACCCACCAACCCCACAUUCCCCCCAAAUGAGCCCCACAUGAGCAUGUUGGCUAGGACACCAUUUCUUCCUCACAAACAUCAGCUCUUUAGAAAAUACUGCUCUUCUCACUAAAUAAUAGAAAACUAGCAUAGCCUAGCGUAGCCCUUCAACCAUCACAGCCAACCAGCAAGUCUCAAAGUCUCAGCUGGACCAAGAAUUUCACAAAUGUUGUACUUAUCUGUAUGUUUUGGCAAUAUGUUUUUUUGUAGUUCUUCGAGGUAUGCAUAAGAAACAUUCAAGCAAUAAUAAUAAUAACAUGUACAUGCUACUCUAAUCUAUCUAGCGUACUCUACCAUGUUGACUUUUAAGUCUGCUUAAAGUAAGUGAAUCAGCUGGAUCGAUCGUACACAGACAUCACAACACCUCCACCACCUUCUUGUAUCGAUAUAUGUGCGAUCACUCAAACGUAUAUGUACGUUUUACCUCAAAUCAUCAGCUAUUUACCAGUUAUAGGAUUCCUUUGAGCUGGAGCGCUAAUGUGCUAACGCUUCACGCUAUAAUACUGUACACAGCACUGGAUUUGUUUGUAGCAGUUUAUGGACUCACUUAGUUUUGACAGUCCCCCAAUAGAUUUUCUACAGGUGAUUUAAUUUUGAACUCGGUUUAUUGGUGAAACUCAGAUGUCAACAAUCUUAGGGUUAGCAAUGUUAGCUUUAGGUUUCAAAAUGAAGUCAAGGUUCAAGCUAGAUGUGCAUUAAUACAUUAAUAGAAUCUAUUAAAGGAGCAUUAGUCAAUUUUCUCUUCCUUUUCUUACUAAUUUAGAACUGCCAAAUAUGUCCAAAUGUUUGUGGACACCCCUUGUAAUAAAUGCAUUUAGCUACAGAACUUUAAAGUAGCUCCUAUUGCUGACGCAUAUGUGCAAAUAUGCACACACAGCUUGUCUAGUCCCUGAAGAGAUGUCCGAAGAGGAGCAUAAUGCCAAACAUGGGAUAGAGGGGCAUAAAGCCCACCAGCAUCGAGCUGUGGAGAAGUGGAAUUAUGUUCUCUGGAAUGAUGGUGCUCCAUUCAGUAGUUUUGGGAAGAGUUGAAGAGUUAAAAAUCUGAAUCAAAUGCAUUUUGAAUGCAAUCAAAUCCUUACAGCAAUGUUAAAAAAUCAAAUUUUAACCCUCCUUUGAACUGUAGAAACAGUUACUCUAACAAAAUCAGCAUAAACUUUUUUUUUAAAUAACCUUGAUUUAAAAAUAUAUAUUUGUUAUCCACAGUGGUCAAUUCCGUUAACACAGGUAGUGACUGAAAAACUCAUUGGAGCACAUUACAAGGAAAUACAAGACAGGAACCAUACUUAACUGUUCUCAGACCAGCUAAUAACUAUAAUCUAAACCUAAAUAGUGUUUUAUAAGUUUUUAAUUUCAUCAUCAGGAAGCUAAAUGUCUUGGAAUAUCAGAUUAAAAUACUCCAGUGCACUACCAUAAUGCCCCUCAGAACUGGGCGUUUACAAUCACGCUAGCAGAUCUAGCCUCUUAACCAAUAGAGGUUGUGUGUCUUGAAUCUUGAGUAAUGCUCCUUUAAUUUCAACUUUCAACUAUUAGUUUUAUUCAUUAAUCAUAAUUAAAUGUUUCUUGUUUUUUUUAAAGUCAGUGUAGCACCUAGCAAACAUUUAUAGUGGAUUCUCAAAAUUAAGCAUUAAGCAACUUGUAUCUUUCUUUUGUCAUGUUAUUUUUACAGAGGGUAUAAUGAAAAAAAAAAACAAGCUGGUUACUAAAGCAGACAAAAUCUGCGUUCCAAAGUGUAGGCUGCAUCCUAGAUGGACUGUAUUUCUUGUUCGCUGUGUUUAUUUGAAGGCUGUUCAAAAAUAAAGGAUCCUUUGCAUACAGCCAAGAAAUGCAGCUGAAGUUUGGAAUGAUUUGAAGGACGCAGCUGAUGUAUCCUUCCUGGUUCUCAGUUAUUGUACAGUUUAUUGUGCACAUUCAAUAUGAGGGUAAAAAAAUAACAGCACCAUAAAAUGGUGGGAAACAAAGACUUGAUUAUAAUUUUAUGAUUUACUAUAAAUAAAGUUUGUGAUUGAUGUCACCACAAAGCUGUGUUAGACUUCACUAAAUAUAUGACCAACAAAUACAAAGACAAACAAUUCAUAGGACAGUCCUACUGAGGUCCCGCCCUACCUCGAAUUGAGCAGCCUGGACUUCGGAAUACAGAUAAGGUCUUUUCCAAUCAGCAGAGAAUCACUUAGUUACCAGCGCUUGUUCGUAAAUGAAUUGGGUCUUAUGCCACGAGUAAUCUGUCUCACAGAGUAAGACAGAAGCAGUGAAUGGGUUUUAAUACCUGGAGGCACCUGUCUUUACUUCCGGUCACAGUGUUUGCCAUGUGUAGUGAUCUGAUUAGUCGCUCCAGUCAAGUGGUCUGUCGAUUUGGAGAGCAUGCAGCUUCAGAGGUCUGUCAAAGUCAAUCAGCGUGGCUCAUGUCUUUUGAACACCUGUUUGUACAUCUGUGAACUUGUAUGUAUGUGUGUGUGAAUGAGUGUUUUGUAGGUGAGGUUGUGAUUUGGGAGUGUGUGUGUGCAGAAAUCAUAUCUGUCGUUUGCCAUUAGGUCUCUGAGUAAAUAAAAAAGAUAAAGUUCUCUUGGGAAAAGGGGGCGGGGACGUGAUAAAAAAAAGAGCUGUAAAGCACAAUUUCCACAUCCUCAGUGUGUGCGUGAAUGCACGCAUGUCACUGCAUGUUGCCUAGUUGUUAAUAUGUGGUUAUUAAAAAUCAAAUAUCAGAAAAAAAAUAUAUUGAAAUAAUGGAUAUCUUUGACCCAGAGGCCUUCUCAGAUCAUAUGAAGAUAAAAUAAUUGUAAAAUAGUGCAGAAUCUAUCAAUAAAUUUACCUCAACCCUA